ACGCGAGCUGGGUUCAGAACGUCGUGAGACAGUUCGGUCCCUAUCCGUCGCAGGCGUAGGAAAUUUGAGAAGACCUGUCCUUAGUACGAGAGGACCGGGAUGGACGUACCUCUGGUGUACCAGUUGUCCUGCCAAGGGCAUGGCUGGGGAGCUAUGUACGGAAUGGAUAAGCGCUGAAAGCAUCUAAGCGCGAAGCCAACUUCAAGAUAAGAUUUCCCACCGCAAGGGUAAGACCCCAGAAAGACUAUCUGGUUGAUAGGUCGAAGGUGUAAGUGCAGCAAUGUAUUUAGCUUAUCGAUACUAAUAGGUCGAGGACUUGACCAAU
rnacentral:rRNA from 1 species